rnacentral:rRNA from 1 species
AUACGGAGGGUGCAAGCGUUGUCCGGAAUCACUGGGUGUAAAGGGUGUGUAGGCGGGCUAGCAAGUCAGAGGUGAAAUCCUACGGCUCAACCGUAGAACUGCCCCUGAGACUGUUAGUCUUGAGUUUCGGAGAGGUUACUAGAAUUCGUGGUGUAGCGGUGAAAUGCGUAGAUAUCACGAGGAAUACCUGAGGCGUAGGCAAGUAACUGGACGAAUACUGACGCUGAGGCACGAAAGCGUGGGGAGCAAACAGGAUUAGAAACCCCGGUAGUCC